GUUCCUCCCCCACCUCUUGGAGUUUAGCAGCAGCUAAGAAAUGUGACCCCAAGGUCACAUUCAGAUUAGAACUCAGUAAAACCUGAGGGUCUGUUAUUUCAUGGCAAUGGCACCCCACUCCAGUACUCUUGCCUGGAAAAUCCCAUGAAGGAGGAGCCUGGAAGGCUGCAGUCCAUGGGGUCGCUGAAGGUCGGACACAACUGAGCGACUUCACUUUGACUUUUCACUUUCAUGCAUUGGAGAAGGAAAUGGCAACCCACUCCAGUAUUCUUGCCUGGAGAAUCCCAGGGACAGAGGAGCCUGGCAGCUACAGUCCCUAGUAUCACAAAGAGUCAGAUAUGGCUGAAGCUACUCAGCGUGCACGCACACGUGGAGAGGGUUUGCAUGGGAGGGGAAUCUGGCUUAGCAUUGGUUGCAUUCAUUCCCCUGGGGUGGGAGCCUAGAAAGAGAGGGUGUCAAGUGGCUCUGGCAACUGAGUCCCGUCAGGGUUGCCCUCAGGAUCAGGAUGAAAAGAGGGAAAUGAGGAGUCCCUGCUCUCUGGGAACUGAAGAGCUAACAAGCAAAGGGGAUAAACAGGUUUAAGGAAAAGGAAAGAGGGUGUGUUUCAUACGGUGUUUCUUCUUCUCUUUUCUAGUUCUUUGCCAUAAUGAUAGUGGAUUUGAAGACUGGACCCAGGGCCUUGCUGAGGGCCUCAGCUUGAUUACACUAAACGUUGCACAGGAACUUGGGUUGGACAGUGAACUCACAAAUCAGAAUAAAUGAUCAGUUUUACUAGAAUAGCUCUUCUGUAUUGGGGAUGGAUAGAAACUCCUAUGUUAAAAGAAGCCACUAAAGAAUCAUUGCACAUUUUACUUAAUGGUUCUAUUACCAGAAAAUUAAUGGAAAGGAUCCUUAGGAGAAGCAGCCCCCCCAAACCAUGAGUGAAGAUAUUUUCGGGGCAGUUGACAGUUGUUAACUCAGCUCUGUACACUGC
ensembl:lncRNA